GGAUAUCUGACUGUAGCAUGCAUACAUCUUCACCAUCGCACUCAAAGCAUCUUCGGGGAGACCAAAGUCCCCAGACAAUAGCUGUGAUUCCUAAUUUCAAAGUGAGGAAAAUUGAUGAAGCGGGGGUGCUAACGGCAGGACAUAAUUACAAGUCUCUUAGUGUAGCCAAAUGCCUUGUCAUCUAAUUAGUGACGCGCAUGAAUGGAUGAAUGAGAUUCCC
rnacentral:ncRNA from 1 species